rnacentral:rRNA from 1 species
UACGUAGGGUGCGAGCGUUGCCCGGAUUUAUUGGGCGUAAAGGGCGCGGUAGGCGCCACGCACGUCCGUUGUGAAAUCGCCCGGCUCAACUGGGCGGGGUCGGCGGAUACGGCGUGGCUGGAGCAAGCUAGGGGGCAAUGGAAUUCCGGGUGUAGCGGUGGAAUGCGUAGAGAUCCGGAAGAACACCGGUGGCGAAGGCGGCUCGCUGGGCAGUGGCUGACGCUGAGGCGCGACAGCGUGGGGAGCAAACAGG